CUUUACCACUACCAUUUCAUCUCUCUCCUUGUUAAAAACUUAAUCUGAAGUAUAGAUUUGUUUGACAAAAGAAAUUCUCCUAUGAAAUCGAAAAAGGCUCCACUCAUCCUCUUCCUUUUCAUUUAUCUGUAGCCAUUAUUACACACAUCAAAACUGUAAAAACUUAUCUAUAGCCAUUAUUAAACCAAACUCAUCAUCUUUUGCUUUACUAACCUCUUUAUGUCUCAAUCUCAAAAAAAAAUUCUCAUCUCUGAAUGUUUUUUUCUCCAUCUCAUGUUAAAACUCUCUGAAAUCUUCAUAUCUCAUUUUUCUUCUUACAUUUAUAUGAUAGUCUGUAACUACAGUGUCUUAAGGGAAAACUUCACGAUGAAAAAAAACAGAUGUGAUGCGUCUUUCUAGCAGUUGAAAAUAGAGGUGAAGCGUUUUCCACUCUUUUUUUUGUUUCUUCUCCGUUCUGUUUCCAGAGAAACCCGAGGACAACAAUACUUGAGUUAUUGGGGGUUUGAUUUUUUUCAAAAGAAUCAGAACAAUGAAAAACAGAUUUCAGGUUUCUUGAAUCUUCAGUGGAAAAGAUAUGGUUUAUGUUCUGAGUUAUCUCAAUAGGUAAUGGGGCUUUUCUCUCAUUUCCUUUUAAAAUGAGAAUUAUGUUGUGAUGUCUCGGUUUUUUUCAACAAAGGUUCCUCCUUUUCAAGAACAAAGAUCAGACUCGUGUAUGUGAAUUGGUUAUUUGUUCGAAUUUUGCAAUUUUAUUUUUAGUUUUCUGGAAAUAUUCCAAUGAGUGUUCCACCUGUUAAAAUGUAUAAGAGAAAGUUUAACGACAUAGGAAGGGGAAGAUAUGAUUCAGAUUUUUGGAUCCAACAAUCUUGAAGAGGAAAAGGACAGCAAGAUUCUCAAGUUCUUAGGUUUAUGUGGAAUCCACUCGCGUGAGCCCGGAUCUGCCGUGUUCUUGUCGGCGAUUGAGACACGAGGAGGCGUCUCUUGGUCGGAGGAGCAUUUGAGGAGAAGAGAGCCAUAAAAAGUGGAAGUGAGGAAAACGAGGUGGUGAAGUCGCCUUUUCUAGCCGGAGGAUGGUGAACCAACGGCGUCGGAAAAUAGAAAGCUUUGUGGAUCGCCGGAGAAGAGUAGUCAGAGGCAAGCUUCGUCGCCGGGGAAGAAGAGAGAGAAAUGGAAGAAGCUGAAGAAGAGGUUUUUGAAGUAGAAGAAGCCGGUAGCAGGAGCUUGCUUGCUUCUCUACCAAACUACCAAACAAGAUUGAGAUGAAGAAGAAAACAAACCUGGAAGGUCAACGACAAGGAUCUCAGCGUCUGGUUCAGAGGUCCAUCUAGUUACAGGGUCAAAUUCUUGGUAAACC